rnacentral:rRNA from 1 species
GCGUAAGCCAUGCAUGUGUAAGUGUAAAUAUCAAAGUUUGGAACUGCGAAUGGCUCAUUAUAUCAGUUAUAGUUUAUUUGGUGAAGUGUACUACUUGGAUAACCGUAGUAAUUCUAGGGCUAAUACAUGAGAAAGUCCUCUGGUGAGGUGUGUUUAUUAGAAUGAAAACCAUAUGCUUCGGCAUGAUAGUGAGUAAUAGUAACCUAUCGUAUCGCAUGACUUAAUGUAGCGAUGAGUCUUUCAAGUUUCUGCCCUAUCAUCUUUCGAUGGUAGUAUAUGGGCCUACCAUGGCAGUAACGGGUAACGAAGAA